GAUGAACGCUGGCGGCGUGCCUAAUACAUGCAAGUCGAGCGAACAGACGAGGAGCUUGCUCCUCUGACGUUAGCGGCGGACGGGUGAGUAACACGUGGAUAACCCACCUAUAAGACUGGGAUAACUUCGGGAAACCGGAGCUAAUACCGGAUAAUAUAUUGAACCGCAUGGUUCAAUAGUGAAAGACGGUUUUGCUGUCACUUAUAGAUGGAUCCGCGCCGCAUUAGCUAGUUGGUAAGGUAACGGCUUACCAAGGCAACGAUGCGUAGCCGACCUGAGAGGGGGAUCGGCCACACUGGAACUGAGACACGGUCCAGACUCCUACGGGAGGCAGCAGUAGGGAAUCUUCCGCAAUGGGCGAAAGCCUGACGGAGCAACGCCGCGUGAGUGAUGAAGGUCUUCGGAUCGUAAAACUCUGUUAUUAGGGAAGAACAAAUGUGUAAGUAACUAUGCACGUCUUGACGGUACCUAAUCAGAAAGCCACGGCUAACUACGU
rnacentral:rRNA from 1 species